CCUCUUAAGUAUGUGUAUUCUCGGAGGGGGUUGUUUUAUUAGCAUAAUAAUUUGCCCUCACCUAUACGGUAAUAAAACUACAUAUAACUCUGCAGAAAUGUACCUUUGCAUGCAUGUAAAAUUGUACCAAUUAAAGUACGGUUACAUUGGCUUUCCGCGUGUAUACACCACGUUUUGCUUUGAACAAAAAAUCCUUUAUAACCAAAACGGUCAUCAUGGAGCAGACUUUAUUAUUUUAAAAAACUCGUUAUUUUAAUAAUAAUUCAUGAGGAAAAGACAAAUGAAAUCGCUGAAAUGUCAAGAUUACACGUUCUUUCUCUUCUGCUUCAGAAUUUCACUUAUCUAUUGAUUACAGCAGUCUCCAAGUUUCUUCUUCUCUUCGUUUUCUUUGUUUUUUUUUCUCCAGCUCCUUUUUCCAACUUUUUAAUAUAUUUCUUGUCCUGGCGUUCUGCUGCCAUAUCUUCGUUUUUUCUUGCCAUAUUUUACUUUUUGUAUGAGCAACUCUCACAUUUUUUUCUCUUUCUCUACCAUGAUUUCUUUCAGAUAUUUGUCACCCUUUUAGCCUUACCCAACUCAUGUUUAAUUAAGCUGUGUUAAUAAAGUAAACAAACCAGGUUAUAAAAAUUCGAAAACUGAGUGGAGGUUUAUGUGUUGUGCCGUGCAUGGCCAUGUAUGACUGCUCUCGUGUCUCGAAUAGGUUGUUCGUUCUGCGCGGGUCGUUUUGAUUGGAAAUGCAGUGCCAUGAAUGUAUUUAUGUUUAUCUUAUUUUAGAAAGGCAAACAGAUGAAAAAGCCACACGUCUUCCAUAGAUAGGGAACACAAAACGGAAGUCAUGAAGCAAUUGAAAACUGCAUGUACAUUUACGAUUCCUUUUUGAAUCGACAUUAUAUAAAUUUAUAACAUCGUAACGAACAGUGUUUUACUUCGAUUGGAUUAGAUCGUAUCGUAGUAGAUUGUGAUCGAGAACGUAAUAGAUUGCAAUGUCCGUAUACGUGCAGUUAUAUUCGUUUUUAAAGGCAGACAACAAAAUCUGAGACAGGCCGUAAAAACCACUUGUGCACAUUGUUUUUAAUUGCGCUUAAAACUAUCCGGCACACACUUAUUAUAUAAUAUUAUUUCAUGUAUUUUUAUUAUUACUUUCAUCGUAUAGCUACCGAGUCAAUAUCUCACCAUCUUUGGCGAUCAGUUCUCUCUCCUCCGCAGAGCCUCCUUAAGUAUUUACAAAUAACUUACAUGAAGUUUCCUGAAUAAAAGUGAGCGAGCGCGGUGUGAUGGGAAGUCAGGAAGAUUGAAAUGAAGUUGGGGAGGCUCUGCCAGUAAUACGACGAAGUAUGGUUUUUGAACCAAACUAGUUGUUUGACCUUUUUUUAAAAUUGAAAUCGACGGAAAUGUGAAAGAAAUUGAAAUGAAUCUUCACAAUCUGAG